rnacentral:rRNA from 1 species
AUACGGAAGGUGCAGGCGUUAAUCGGAAUCACUGGGCGUAAAGCGCUCGUAGGUGGCUUUGUAAGUCAGUGGGGUGAAAGCCCACGGCUCAACCGUGGAAUUGCACUUGAUACUGCAUUGCUUGAGUUCGGGAGAGGGUAGUGGAAUUCCAGGUGUAGGAGUGAAAUCCGUAGAGAUCUGGAGGAACACCAGUGGCGAAGGCGACUACCUGGACCGAUACUGACACUGAGGAGCGAAAGCGUGGGGAGC